GUACACACACAUAUAUAUAUUCACAUUAGCUCUUUUUAUGUGUGUAUACACACACAUGCAUAUAUAAAAAGAGCUAAUGUGAAAAACUUAGAUCUUUAUAUAUAUAUAUACAUAUAUAUGUGUGUGUGUGUGUGUGUAUAAAGAUCACUUAGAUCUGUGUGUGUGUGUGUGUGUAUAAAGAUCACUUAGAUCUGUGUGUGUGUGUGUGUAUAAAGAUCACUUAGAUCUGUGUGUGUGUGUGUGUGUAUAAAGAUCACUUAGAUCUUUGUGUGUGUGUGUGUGUGUGUAUAAAGAUCACUUAGAUCUUUGUGUGUGUGUGUGUGUGUACACAGAUCUAAGUUUUUAUAUACAUAUAUAUAUAUAAGUGGGGGUUGCCUGUGUGUACAGAUAUAGAUAGAUAGAUAGAUAGAUAGAUAGAUAGAUAGAUAGAUAGAUAGAGCUACACACACACACACACACACACAGGCAACCCCCACUUGGCACUCUUAAUUGGUUCCUGGAAAACUGAGCAUUAAGCGAAGGCAAAAGUAUUUGAUGACCCAAGGUGGCGACCAUGAGCAUUAUAACAAAACUCACAGAGCGCUAAGUGGAAUUGGAUAUCAAUUUAAAAUGAGUGUUACAGCAAAAUAGUGCUAAGCAAAACAGAGUUAAGCAGGGGUUGCCUCUGUGUGUGUGUGUGUCUGUGUGUCUGUGUGUGUGUGAAAAUAAAAGAAAGAGAGAACUUUUUCACAUUCCCGAAGUGUAGACUUUAAGAACAACACCAAAAAAUCAUGAGAGUUGGCAAUACUGAAUAUUGAACAUGAAAUAUCAGCACUGGUGAACAAAGCCAGGACACUGUAAAAGUCUUUAUCCCCACUACACUGCCUCCAUCACUGCUGUCAACCAUGAACGGCGUGUGCCCCUGGUGGCUGGGGGGACACAGCGUCAGCAGGAGUGCAGCGGUGGUAAGCGUGGAGCUCACUCAUAUGCCAUCUGUGCUGUCAGUGGCAGGGGAGUUGGCGAGCGCCAAUCAGGGGUCUUAGCCCCUGGUACUGUUGGCAACGGCUUUUUGUAGGGGAUGCACUGCCAUGCUCAGGGGUGCACGUGCACCCACCUGCACCCCCUAUGCGUCACCCCUACUGUUAACCCAAAAGUCUUAAUUGUUCAUCCUCCUGGCUAUGAGGAGGAUCGGGGAGCGUCCACCCAAGCCAUGAGAUUGCCUCUGUGGUGCGCGAACUGCAUCGUAGGCAAGUGUUGUUGUGCUGACGCAGCACCUGAGUAUGCAAUGUUUUAGCUGCUUCAGGGUCUUGUCAUGCACUUCUAAGUGACAGUGGCCUCCUUAGACGACAGCAAAAACACCCUCCUUUUCUAUGACUUGUUUAGGAGAGUAAAGUUAACUCUGUGCUAUUUAACGCUGUAGCUAAUUGUGGGAUACAGUUUAUGUGAGAGAUGCUUCAUCAAAUAAAGUUGUAUUGCUUAGGGAAGUCUGAUUUAAUUAUCAGCUCUCUUUGUUACAGUUAGGUCUAGAGGCUCUAGUUAUGCUUAGUGCUGUAUAAAUACAUACAAAAUACAGAUCCUGCAAAUGCUUCUGUAAAGUCAAGCCCAUGCAUAAUUACUGUUUCUGAAUAACUCUGCCUGUAGACAAGCCUCAAAAUAUCUUAAUAAACUGAGUACACCAGAUGUAGUGGAAAAUAGUGCAUGUACUGCAAAUUCCCACCCCAGUGUACUGCAAAAUAAAUUCCUUUCAACAAGUUGUAAGUCUUUAUAGCAAGGGUUCUCUCUCAGUCUUUUCUUACUCAUGGUGUCCUGUGUUAGACUCAAGGCACCCUUCAGAAAAUGCCAGCUCUUAGCUUUCUUUCCUUUUUUACCAUGGACGAUUAAUAGACCAAUUCUUCUGUUGCAAAGAAUUCAGAAAGACUGUAACAGGUCAGAAUGUUUUUGUCCCUACAUAUUCCUAUUUAAAAUCCUGGUUUUAUCUUGUGAAUGGUGUAGGUGUUUGCGCACCUAUGAGUGCAAAUAUUGCACUGCACUCCACACCCCGCUUAAAAAGAUCUCAGAGCACCCCAGGGUGCUGCAGUAUCUUGCCUGAGAAUCGCUUCUCUAUAGAACUGGAAUCUAGCUGUUUUCAUUGGAUUUUUUUAACUUGAUGAUCUGCCUCUUUUCUUUUCCUGUUCUAGGAAAAGGAAGAUAACAUCUUCCUAAUUUCUCAGAAUUCUUUGAAUGUGAUAACAAAGCAAUGGAUAAAGGAGAAGUGAUUAACAGACUGCCUUGGAACUUCCAAAAGACCUUUAUCAAGUUCUUGUGUAAGAGGCUAUGAAAAUAGGCAUAUAGUCCUUGACUGAGGGGCCAGGUACAAAAACCGGAUCAAGAACUGGCUAAGGAACAAAGAAAAAUUAACCACUUGGAUUGGGAGGAGGUGUGCUGGAAGUCUAGGUUCUGAACUGGAACACAGCUAAAAUGACUGUCCAUACUGUUCUAGUAACGAGGUGUCUGCUUCUGGGCUGGGAAUAAAAGGCAAGUCAAACAGAUGCCUGCAUUUUUCAUUUCCUUGCUUCUAUAGUUUUGUGUUAAGUUUUUUAAGGAUACAACAAUCUUAGCAUAGAUGCAUAGUACAGUUGCUAUGUGGUUAUAUCCAUAUUUUUCUUUUUUUAAUUAUAAAUGUAUCUUCCAGAGAGUGACGGCUACUUUUACAGAUCUUUGUUAAAAUAGCAAAUCAGCUCAGGCGCUCCAUGGGUUGAUGAAGAAUUGAAUCAUCAGCGUAGCGACUGGUGUUUUUGUGAAAACAAGAAGAUCCUGAAUAGACUGAACAGCUUCACAAAGAACAACUCUUGUCAGCAAAUACUUCUUUGGCUAUCUCUCACAGUCACGGAUGACUGUCUUCCAGGAUUAUCUUAUCUGUGGGUCCAAAGAUAGUUGACAAGACCAAUCUGGGAUCAACAGACUCUGCUGCAACUCAGGCAUUUGUUUCUGUGUGGGUUGGGUAGCUCCAGAUUCUUGAUUUGGCCCGCCACAUGCUGUUUCUGGUGCUCCUGCUUUUUUCUGUCUCCUGUGGUUGUCGUAAAGUUUUGCAGUACUGUGAUCCUUGCAGCAGCGUCUUCCUCCACUUGGGGCGGUCCUAGGCAAUAGUCUCUGAUGAGUUGAUGUGGAUGUUGCAUUUUUUCAAGAUAGCCUUGAGGGUAUCUUUGAAGUGCUUCCUCUGUCCUCUUCUUGAGCAUAUGCCUUGACUGAGCUGAGAGAAUAAAACUUGCUUCGGGAGCUUAGAGUUGGACAUCUGGAUGGUGUGGCUGGCCCAGCCCAGUUGAUAUUGGAUGUCUUCACCUCAAUGCUUGUGGUAUUUGCAUGCAAGAGGAUGCUAAUGUUGUUGCAUCUAUCUUCUCACUGGAUUCAAAGGAUCUUUUGCAGGCAGUGUUGAUAGUACUUUUCCAGCGACUUGAAAUGUCUCCUGUACGUUGUCCACCUUUCAGCUCUGUACAGUAACAUGGGGAUCACAACUGCUUAAUAAACCAUGAGCUUGG